UGUGGGAGCCGGCUUGCCUGCGAUACCGGUGGGUCAGCUGGCACAUUUGCUACUGAUGUGCCGCCAUCGCAGGCAAGCCAGCUCCCACA
rnacentral:antisense_RNA from 1 species